GUCGGGAUAGCUCAGCUGGYAGAGC
rnacentral:tRNA from 1 species